ACGCUCGACACCUACGGGAGACAGCAGUGGGGAAUAUUGCACAAUGGGGGAAACCCUGAUGCAGCGACGCCGCGUGAGUGAAGAAGUAUUUCGGUAUGUAAAGCUCUAUCAGCAGGGAAGAAAAUGACGGUACCUGACUAAGAAGCCCCGGCUAACUACGUGCCAGCAGCCGCGGUAAUCUGAGCGGGCUGGCAAGGC
rnacentral:rRNA from 1 species